GGUUUGUUCAAGAGAGGUGGCUCUGCUCUCCUGGACAUGUUUAUUUUUCAAAUUGACAAAGAGUAAAAGAUCUUUUCUGACAUUUUGCCUUGGGGGACUGGAUUAAAGGUUUACAGAACUUUCAGAAGGCAGCAAUGGAUUAAUUUGGAUGAGGGGCCCAGGGGCCUCUUGAAAGGGAAGAGACUGAGUAAUCUACAGGAGCUAGAGAGAAGAUAUCGUCUAGACCGAUUGGCCCGACUCUACCCUUUUUUCGUGGAGUGCAGUGGUGUAAUGUGUAGCGUACCUGGACUGUCUGGACUGGUCUACACUGGAGACUUGAUCUUGUGUCUUGUACUCAGGUUGCCAGAUAUCGAAUGAAGACUACGUUUACAAAUGCAGUUAGGAUAAGCCUUUUACAGAACUGGAUAAGGAUAAGGAUAAGAAAAGGAUAAGCCUUUUACAGAACUUUGUAGAACCAGUUUCUUUGUCUAGUCAAUGCUGUUGGUAUUGGAUGAUUUAAUGAAAAUGCCUGAGGCUUACAGAUAAAAGGACUAUGGAACAAAGUUAUUACAUGGGAAUCCUUCCUGAAUAAUAUUUAUUGCGGAAUGUCCCUGGCACUAAGUAAAAAUAGAUAAAAUAUUAGCAUUUUCAAAACCCUAAUCUUAUGUCCACACAAGUGCCUUGCUCUUAUUUUAACUCGGGCUUAACACUGCUUGACAUCAGAAGAAGUACACCCAAUCCUCAUUUUUGGGCAAGAAGAACAAAUCGCUCUUCCUUGUUCACAAGACAGAUGGAGCAUCCAAAGAUCAGCUCUCUAUUGGGAACUCGGAAACCACUCACUCCCAGGCCUACCGUCUGCUUCUCUGUACAAAAGACAAAAACCACUAGGAGGAUCAAUUUUUAAAAUCAGACUGUUAUGGGUAGUUGAAAAUUUAAUUUGCCCCCAACAGAAAAGAAAAAGGAAGCCUGCAAAGCAGGAAUAAAGGAAAAUUUUUAACAUAUUAAAACUGGCUAUAUCUGUCAUGCUCAAUUGUGCAACAGAGCAAAAUGAGAUGAGCAUAUUAGUGGCAGUUGAGAAAAAUGGCUUUUCAAAUUCAGUUUUUUAUGAGGGUAAUUUAGUAAGAGUAGUAUAAGAGUCGUUAAGUACGAAAUACCAUAAACGUCAAUGUGAGUUGCAUUCUGCUUUUGUUUGGCUCACGGAGUGACAUAGCAUACCUUAAAUCUGAUGAAGAUGCUCUUUUGGAAACUAUAAAGAGAGAGGCAUUAACACAGACUGAGAGUGGCACUAGAUUCCCGGGGAAUAGGGCUCCUAAAACAACCUUUGCCUGUCUUGUUGAGGAGAUGGGAAGAGCUAAGAGGAAGCCUGUGCUUCCAACCCAUGAGUGGUGUAAAAUCAAGAAGAACCUUCUUGUGAGCCAGCCACCCACCUCCUACUGGGAACACAAGAGGAAUGUAGGCAGGAGCAGUGAGCUUGUGGAGGAUGAUUUCAAGCAGGGAGGCAGGCGCGAGGAAUGAAGAAUCCUCAGGCUGUGACAGAAGGAAAUGCAAGCCCAAACGCAGGUGUUGGCUCAGACUCCUAGAGGAUUACUUCGGUUAUUGUGUUGAGAUGGGAUGAAAAGGGAAAAUCGUCUCCUACUCCCUUGCCUCAGCCAGCCUGAAAAAUUAUGGAGUGUGAAGUGUAAUCCCUUGUAAAUAUUGGUUUGAAGGUCUCACCAACUCUAGAGAGUAUAAAAACCAAGAAAAUACACUAUAAAUCGAAGAUCUCAAUGGGAAAGUAUACUUUUAUGAGUCCACGUUUAUUGAAUAUUUGCUGAGCUGAGGACAGUAUGACAAAUUUGACCUCUGUCCAGAUACUUCGUAUUUUGGACUCGCUGAAGUUCAUUUUAGUUUCAUCACAGGCCUUGCCCUCAGAAAAAAAGACUCAGUCCUUCCUACUUGCUGUACACUAGCAUCCUCCUCGUUCUUUACCAAUAUUUCUCCAACCCUGCAUAAAAAGAUGUGGCCACACCAUCUAAUCUGAUCUCGUCACAACUUUUUCGUGUAAAUUUUCUUUUUUAGCCAUUUGGUUCCUCUGAAAAUUGGCCAGUGUUGUCUCCCCUCCAAGUUUUUGCUUCUCAGUGUGUCUUCAUCUGCACUUCCAAUUGUCCCUCAAAUUUUAGCAACAUUGAGCUGAGCCUCUAAAGUUUUCUAAAGUUUGGGUCGGGUCAUCUUUCUCCAGUCUUUCUCAGCUCUCCAGCUUACACGGAUGGCCCCUUUCUCUAAAUCUGUAACCUCCACUCUGAC